GUAUUUUUGAUUGGAAUGAAGAAGGAGGAAUGUUAUGUUUGAUCUGCUGUUUUUAAGGUGGUUCAUCCAUCUGCUGAUGGUAAAAGAGUUGAGGUGCUGGCCUAGCCUUCUAUGAUUGUGAUCCCUGAUAUUUCCUCUUGGGUGUUGGAGCGUAGAUUCCCAAUGAGCAAAGGGUUGCCCUUGAGCCUUUGAAUGUAAGGAAUCAUACAUUUUCUCACUGAACAGGUUGUUGCUGUGAAAGGGCAGAUUCUCCACAGUAAAUUGAACUUUCCUGGGGAAUUCGGAUGAAUGAAGCUAUGACUCUCAACGUAUGGAUCAGGAAGCUGUGUCUGCUACAUCAUCUGGGGUCUGGAGGGAUAUCCUGGUUCUGAUGAUGGAGAGGCUGCAGAAUCUGGAUCAACGAGAUCAAUGAUGGACACCAACGGUGGAUCACAGGCGUAGAAGACAGGUAUGUAACCCUAUCUGAGACCCCUCCCUCUCCCUAGCUGUGUCGUCUCUGGUUGUAAAUCUGAGCUAACUAACUGGACCGAGUCCGCGCAUGCAGGUCUGCUUCCCAAAAGAAAAUAACACACAAACCCCAAAACAUUUAGUGACUGGCUACUGCAGGCCAGUAACCAGUGUGAAAGGGUGUGCCACACCACAGAGAGAGCGAGCGAGCGUUGGACACCCAAGCCCCCAAAGACUCAAGAGCUCAAGAGCCCUUAGCCCCUCCCCUUAUCUGUCUUUAUAGGAACCUUAGCAACAACAAAUUCCCGCUCUUUUUACUUUCCCGUCUUUUGCUCAGCGUAGGGGAGCAAGAACCUGUCACAACAUGGAGGUCACCUUGUUCUUAUCCCAGACCAAGAUGGCCACCUAAUAAACAAUACUUAAAACCCAACUUUGGUGAUGGCAAAUGCAUGUCCAAGUGGAAGCAGAGCUGUGAAAAGUAAAUCCUAGCUCCUUCUACCACUAGUAGGUGAAGAUACAUGAUGAAACAAGGUUCUGUCCUGGAAUCUCCGGCAAUAAGAAAGAACUGAGAAGUUGUUGGGGCCACCCCUCCCCUUAACCCUUUACAAUGGCUGUGAGGCCUCCCAGGGUUCAAGUGCAGCCCCAAAGGACAGUGCUAUUUCGAAGAGUCCAAUCUUGCAAGCAUGGGGCGAAUGUACACCAAGAAUGGAAUCAGUGUGGACAAUCACUCGAAGAAGAUUUAUUAUUUAUUUCUCCGACGUUUGGAUUCCCUGAAGUUACCUUGGCAAUAUUCUCUGAGGGAAGACUGAGUCCUACAUCGUCCUUUGCCAUUAACUUUUGCAAAAUAACCUCUGUGUAGCUGAAUUUAUACCCAUAUUAAAAUGCAAAUUGCUGGACCAACUGAAGCCAGGCAGGAACAGAUUUAUCAAGAUGACUCAAAGAUCCGGACCUUCUACCAUGGUGCCUGGUGGAAUGGAACCACAGGAGGAACUUGGGUCCUCUGGGAAGAUGGAGUUGAUCUAGGUAAAAUACAGAUGACGGUGAUCUUCUGCUUUCCUCGGCUUCGAUGGUCCUCUUGCCUCUCGCAGACCACACAAACCAAACAAACACAAGCUGCCUCUAGGGAGGACAACACUAAGGGGAGGGUGACUUCCCCUUAAAUAGACUGGUUAUCUCCGGGCAGAUCAGCCUGAGUUCAGGUGAUCCUUUCCCGCCUUUGAGGGUUACCAGGUAAAUUAAGCCCACAGGGCAACCAAUUAGAAAAAUCAUACUACAAAAAGGGUGCCUGUGAUGUUGCACCCCAUA